UGCCAGCAGCCGCGGUAAUACGGGGGGGGCAAGCGUUGUUCGGAUUUACUGGGCGUAAAGGGCGCGUAGGCGGUUUCAGAAGUUUUGGGUGAAAGCCCCCGGCUCAACCGGGGAAGUGCCUGGAAAACCAUGGGACUGGAGUGCUGGAGAGGCAAGCGGAAUUUCUGGUGUAGCGGUGAAAUGCGUAGAUAUCAGAAGGAACAUCGGAGGCGAAGGCGGCUUGCUGGACAGACACUGACGCUGAGGCGCGAAAGCUAGGGGAGCAAACGGGAUUAGAUA
rnacentral:rRNA from 1 species